UCCCAUAUUGUCUAGUGGUUAGGAUACCUGGCUCUCACCCAGGAGGCCCAGGUUCAAUUCACGGUAUGGGAA
rnacentral:tRNA from 1 species